GACGAACGCUGGCGGCGUGCUUAACACAUGCAAGUCGAACGGAAAGGCCCUGCUUUUGUUGGGUGCUCGAGUGGCGAACGGGUGAGUAACACGUGAGUAACCUGCCCUUUACUUUGGGAUAACUUCAGGAAACUGGGGCUAAUACCGGAUAUGAGCUCCUGCUGCAUGGUGGGGGUUGGAAAGUUUCGGCGGUUGGGGAUGGACUCGCGGCUUAUCAGCUUGUUGGCGGGGUAGUGGCUUACCAAGGCUUUGACGGGUAGCCGGCCUGAGAGGGUGACCGGCCACAUGGGGACUGAGAGACGGCCCAGACUCCUACGGGAGGCAGCAGUGGGGAAUAUUGCACAAUGGGCGGAAGCCUGAUGCAGCAACGCCGCGUGCGGGAUGACGGCCUUCGGGUUGUAAACCGCUUUCGCCUGUGACGAAGAGUGAGUGACGGUAAUGGGUAAAGAAGCACCGGCUAACUACGCG
rnacentral:rRNA from 1 species